UACGGGGGGGGCAAGCGUUGUUCGGAAUUACUGGGCGUAAAGGGCUCGUAGGCGGCCAACUAAGUCAGACGUGAAAUCCCCAGGCUCAACCUGGGAACUGCGUCUGAUACUGGAUGGCUUGAAUCCGGGAGAGGGAUGCAGAAUUCCAGGUGUAGCGGUGAAAUGCGUAGAUAUCUGGAGGAAUACCGGUGGCGAAGGCGGCAUCCUGGACCGGCAUUGACGCUGAGGAGCGAAAGCCAGGGGAG
rnacentral:rRNA from 1 species